GCGGAUGUAGCUCAAUGGUAGAGCCCCAGCCUUCCAAGCUGGCCAUGCGGGUUCGAUUCCCGUCAUCCGCU
rnacentral:tRNA from 3 species